CUCAUGCACAGAAAGGGUCAAUCCAUUAAAAAGCAACAGCAGCUGAUCCCUGGCUGUAUGUUGCAGUCGUUUCACUUCAUUGUCUCCAAUAGACUAAUGUAAAUAUAUCAGAGGGCCAUUAGACGAUCAGGAUCAGUAAUCGAGUUAUCGCGGUGCGCACUAUAACAUCUAAUCUCCAACAAAACGUCAAAGGACGUUUCAGAAGCUGCGUGUUCGGGUUUCCGUUCUUCACUAGAGCUUCAUAAAGACUAGACACUGAUAGGAAUAUCACCAAGCGCAUCCUGAGCAGGUCUGAUUAAAAUGUCCUGGUAGAAGUUGUUCUUCAUUUCUGUGCUUCAGUGACUGAAGGCAAACAUUUUUGUGUUGCUUCCUGGACACAGAAUAAACUAAACCUGUAAUGAUUGAACAUGUGAACUUUGUUUUCUAGAAACUAUGAAACAAUAGUUUUAAAAUCUUUCUUUUCAGUUUCCCCUAAUCUUUAUCUGAUGUUGACAUUACACAAUAUGUGAAGGAUCACGUUGUUGUUGGUUGAUGCUUUUACAGAAGGAAACUUUUUGGAGUUUUUUUUUUUUUUUUGGCACUUUCACACCAGAGGAGUUUGGUUCUCUUUAACUGGACAAGAGUCCAUUUCUGCUUUGUUUGAUUUAUUUAAACCAAAUAAACAUUUAAGAGUCAGGAAGAAUAUUUAAACAAAAAAAGCUUAAAUCCAUCAUGUGCUAACAUCAUUGUAUUAAUGUAUACUCAUUAUUCAUUUUACAGCUGAAAGUCAUAAAUGACUAGAAAAUGCUCUGAACUGCCAAAUCUACCUUACAAUGAAUUAAUCCACACAAUGGAAACCAUCUUAGCCAAGCAGCAUUGCUGUAUUUUAGGAUCCGAAGCCGCAAAUUCGUUCAAAUAUUUCAGGAUGUGCCGUCAAAAAAAUAUCUGCUAGUGGAUGAAUUUUCCACAAGUAAUUUGGAGUCCCCCAGAAAAAUAAAAAAAUAGUUGAAUAUGUGACAGGGGUCCACUGUAUGUUAGGCCUCGUGUGUUUAAAACCUUAUGGGGAGCUGAAACUAAAUGUUUAGAAGAAGAAGAAGCUCACUUUGAUAGAGAGACAUGUCUAUUUUAUUUGAAUAAAUAUUCAGGUAGUAAGUCAGUCUCCACUGCUGCAUCUCUGAGCACAAAACGACUUUUUGUGGUGCGGCUAAAUGGUUAAAAUCUUGUUUAGAUUGUAUGCAUUCACAUUCAGUCCUCAGUUAUUCACAGGGAACAUGGCCCUCUCUUCUUACAUCCAUGUAAAAAGGUCACAAAUAACAGGAAGCUUUAAUGUUUUAUUCAGCAUUCAAGCCACGGCGCAGUUUGUAUGUUUCAUGUCUUUCUAAAUCGGACUGUUCGCUACAUUUUCAAACCUUGAAUGGGAGCACCUGGUUUGGUUUGUAUGAAGAGGAUUAGGAUCCGCAAACAGCAGAUAUUCAUUGAUAAAAAAUUAUUUGGUUGGGCAGAUAAUCUUCUCUAUGUUGCAGCCCAUAAUUAUCAUUAUUAAUAUUAUUAUUUUUGCCAAAAGAACUUUUAAAGGCUUCAUCGUCCAGCUGCUGAUUCAACACAUUACUGAGGGUUUGUGUGACAGGCAUUUAAUUUAACUACAAGAAAAUCCUAAAAAGGAAACGUGCACCAGAUUUUGUGUGUGUGCGUGUGUGAGAGAGAGACUCCUGGGAGGCAGCCAUCGUCAUCACACCUUCUCUCCUUUCUUUUCAGACACACCAGGGUUGCCUUCUGUCUUCUGUACCUCCAGAGGUUUUGGUAUUUUGAGGAAGCCACUGAUCUCAUCGGCCUUGCUGGAAAGCAAAGCAGGUGGCUGCAUGAGUCAUGCAACCUCGAUGUGUGAGUGAGAGAGAGAGAGAGAGAGAGAGAGUGUGUGUGUGUGUGUGUCUGUUUGCGCAUUUGCAGAUGAAACCGUCUCUGCAUGAAAGUCUUGGGGGUAAAAAAGAAACACUCUCCUCCACUCUGGCAGUUCACGCUUUAAUAAUUCAGACGGCUCCCGUCUCCCACGGGCAUGCACUCGCACAAAAAGAAAAAAAAUAAAUAAAUAACAAAAUAACGUUGUGUUUACAAUUGGCAUCAAAGGGACAUUUGCUUAUCAUCCAGAAGGAAACCGAGACCAUGUCCAGUCUAAUGUGCGUAAUUGUGAAAAAGCUCCUUUGUCUGUGCCUGCGACCUUCGAGCUGCAGCAUCGUGAGCCGCAUGAUCUCAUGUUUGUAAGGCGGUCUAGAAACGAUUUUAAAUCAGAUGAAAGGGACGGGAGAUAUGAUGACUUACAAGCUCGGCGCGAUGUUCUGCUAUAACAAUAGUUAAAGUGUUUAAAAAUCCAUUUUGCUAUUUGUUGGCAAAGAGAGCAAAACGCACAAACAAAAAAAAAACUGAGCGACUUUAAUGGUGCAGUCUAUCCCCAAACAGGCCACAAUAUCAGCUUUUACUCUUAUUUUUUUUUUAAAUAGUGAUGUUUAUUGCUGAUUUUGUGGAAUCAAUAGUUAGAAAGAUAAAUAAAUAAAAAAUAAUGUUUGGGAUUUGAAAAAAUCUUGUACAGUUUCCAUGGUUGCAAUAAAUCUGCAUCCUUACAGGACAUUUGUCCAUCCCAUCGGGGAAGUCAUAUUUAAAGCGUUUAUUAUUCAAAACAAUUCAUUUGUCUUUGAAAUAUUUCAAUUAUUUUUUCAGGUAUUAAAGUUGACAUGUAAAAGAUUUUCGCAAAACCAAAAACUCUAAUAAGUUUAAAACAAGUUUAGGACAAUUACUUGCAUAGAAAGGAAGUACAAUAGUACGACUACUGCAUCAAUAACAGAGGUAUUUACACUGAUUUACAGUGGAAGCAGCUCUUUUUAAUCUCAUUUUUAUAUUUUAUAUAAAAUCAAAAAUAAAAAAGGUAUUUCUUGGUUGUUGUUUUUUUUGUUGUAAAUCGGCCAGUGAUUGGAUUUGGAUGCUUGUUUAUUUAGUUUUUUUUUUUUUCUUAGCUCUACUGUGCCAUGUCAGUAGGAAACUCAAGAUGACAGCUUAAAAAAAACCAUGUAAACUAUCAUGCAUUCGAGGAAAAGCAGCGUCUCUCCGGGUAACAUCACGGACGGAGGAAGAGGGGGAGGGAGAGGCGGCGUACGACGGCAUCGCAUUUAUUUUUAAUCACUACCUUUUCUUUGUGCUGUCACCUAAGAAACAACAGAAACAUGGUGUUGAUGAUGACAUGUGCACGGUUUGAUCAAAUGAACAACGGCUUUAUGCGCUGAUAAAACAACAAAAAAAGAAGGAAAAACAGUCACCUGCUGUCUGAAACAGUCCUUUUGUUGUUUUUUUUAAAGAAUAAAGACUCCAGUAAACAGAAGUAAAAGCUACUUAAACAUUGUCAAAGUAAAAAAGAAGGGAAAAAAAAACUCUGAUGUGUUUGCAAUUAGUAAAAUAUCACAUUUUCCUGCACUUCUAACUUGCACUCUCCUCUGCAACUUGUUCAAACACACUUGGCGAUGAGUUCAGAGCCGAAAUGCAAUUAUCCACACACACACACACACACACACACACACACACACACACACACACACACACACACACACACACACACACACAGCAGCAGCACUUGCACACUCCCUCAGGUAUUCCUGGCAACAUAAUGGAUUAAAAUAGCUGGCGACCCACAUAUCCCCGUCCACCAAGAAAGACACCACUGAGCCAGACAAUGAAAAGAAAUCUUCUUGUCCACAGCUGGCCGGGUUCAGGAGUUUUGAUUAUGAAAAAUACCUGAAAUGGCCUGACUGACUGUGGCCCAAAGAUUAUAAAUGACCCAAGUUUUUAGCCACACAAAACACUCAGAGAUAUUUGGAGAUCAGGAAGAAAAGGUAUUUCGUAAAGCUUGGUGUAGAAAACUUUCAGGGCUCACUAUAAGUCAAAAAAAGUUGAGAUACCUUAAGGAAACUAUGUGCUGUAUUUUCAGAGGUAACAUUUUUUAGGAAGGAGGCGGAGGAGGUUCUGUUUCUGUCAGCCGCCGCCUUUUCCUCCCCAACCUGACGUAAAGGCAUGCAUCUGCAGAGGCAGGAAGAGAAGCAGGCCAAAAUUCCCAAGGUCAUUCUCCUCCAGCGCAUCUGACCCAUUUACCGUCCCGCUCUGAACACGCGCCGCAAUCGUGCCUGAAUAAAGGUGCACUAUAAUGCAGCAGCAACGCUUUGGCUGCUCUGCAACUCCGUCUCAUUUGUCACAGUCGCAGCUUCGCUGUAGCGCCGCUGUGCGCAGCUCGUCUCACAGCCCGACGUCCCAAAGGAACCUCUCCACAACGAGCUUUCAUGCAGGCACACUUACGGUGCAACUUUGACUCCUGCUUGAAUUAAAACGAAAAAGAAACCGACGUGCUACGGCAGCAUUUGAUCCUCCACUUGUCCCAAGAAGGUCCUGGGUUUGAAUCCCAAUCUGGGGUGACUGUACGGAGUUAGCAUGCUGUACGAAGUACUCCUUCUUCCUCCCACAAUCCAAAAACAUAACUAUUAGGUUAAAUGGUCUCUCUAAACCUAUAAGUGUGCGUGUGUGUGUGUGUGUGUGUGUGUGUGUGUGUGUGUGUGUGUGUUUGUGUGUGGGUGUGCAUGGUCGUCUUGCCUGUGUCUCUUGUCCUAUCAUGGACCGAUCCUACUACUCGGUCACCUCAACGGACAAUGGACACAUGUUAAGUGACAUUUAGUGUCUAUUUUGUUUGCCUGAUUAAAAACAUGGCCACCAGAUGGCUCUCAAACAGGAUGCACAGCUAUUUAUUAGAGUUGCUAUAGCAACUAUUGUGGGAUUAAUCAUUAAUCAACCUUGAAACUAUGAAAUCUAUUGAAUCACUAAUUUGUAGUGAAGUAGCAGCAAUAUGCACGUAAUUUUUUUAAGAUAUGCAUUCAGUGUCUGUAACAUAAGACUCCAAACUGAAAGUAAACCCGUUAAUUUAUUAUUUUUUUUUAAUUACGCCUGAUAUAAUUGUUUACACAACUAAACAAUUAACAUAAAUGAGGGUGGAAAAAU